rnacentral:rRNA from 1 species
CAAUAGCGUAUAUUAAAGUUGUUGCGGUUAAGAAGCUCGUAGUUGGAUUUCUGCUGAGAACGACCGGUCCGCCCUUUGGGUGUGUAUCUGGCUCUUUCUUGGCAUCUUCUUGGUGAACGUUGCUGCACUUGACUGUGUGGAGCGCUACCCAGGACUUUUACUUUGAGGAAAUUAGAGUGUUUCAAGCAGGCAUACGCCUUGAAUACAUUAGCAUGGAAUAAUAAGAUAGGACCUCGGUUCUAUUUUGUUGGUUUCUAGAGCUGAGGUAAUGAUUAAUAGGGAUAGUUGGGGGCAUUCGUAUUUAACUGUCAGAGGUGAAAUUCUUGGAUUUAUGAAAGACGAACGACUGCGAAAGCAUUUACCAAGGAUGUUUUCAUUAA